rnacentral:rRNA from 1 species
ACAGCAGUCGCCACGGUAAUACGGAGGGUGCAAGCGUUAUCCGGAUUUAUUGGGUUUAAAGGGUCCGUAGGCGGAUCUGUAAGUCAGUGGUGAAAUCUCACAGCUUAACUGUGAAACUGCCAUUGAUACUGCAGGUCUUGAGUAAAUUUGAAGUGGCUGGAAUAAGUAGUGUAGCGGUGAAAUGCAUAGAUAUUACUUAGAACACCAAUUGCGAAGGCAGGUCACUAAGAUUUAACUGACGCUGAUGGACGAAAGCGUGGGGAGCGAACAGGAUUAGAGACCCCUGUAGUCCCUGUCUCUUAUAC